UACGUAGGGGGCAAGCGUUGUCCGGAAUUAUUGGGCGUAAAGAGCGCGUAAGCGGUCCGAUAAGUCGGCUGUGAAAGUCCAGGGCUCAACCCUGGAAAGCCGGCCGAUACUGUCGGACUAGAGUUCGGAAGAGGCGAGUGGAAUUCCCGGUGUAGCGGUGAAAUGCGCAGAUAUCGGGAGGAACACCAAUUGCGAAGGCAGCUCGCUGGGACGAUACUGACGCUGAGGCGCGAAAGCGUGGGGAGCAAACAGG
rnacentral:rRNA from 1 species